rnacentral:rRNA from 1 species
GACGAACGCUGGCGGCGUGCCUAAUACAUGCAAGUAGAACGCUGAAGAGAGGAGCUUGCUCUUCUUGGAUGAGUUGCGAACGGGUGAGUAACGCGUAGGUAACCUGCCUUGUAGCGGGGGAUAACUAUUGGAAACGAUAGCUAAUACCGCAUAACAAUGGAUGACACAUGUCAUUUAUUUGAAAGGGGCAAUUGCUCCACUACAAGAUGGACCUGCGUUGUAUUAGCUAGUAGGUGAGGUAAUGGCUCACCUAGGCGACGAUACAUAGCCGACCUGAGAGGGUGAGUGGCCACACUUGGACUGAGACACGGCCCAGACUCCUUCGGGAGGGAGCAGUAGGGGAACUUCGGCAAUGGGGGCAACCCUGACCGGGCAACGCCGGGGGAGUGAAGGAGGGUCUCGGGUCGCAAAGAUCUGUUGUAAGUCAAGAACGGGUGUGGGAGUGGAAAGUUCACACUGUGACGGUAGCUUACCAGAAAGGGACGGCUAACUACGUG